rnacentral:rRNA from 1 species
AAUAUUGCGCAAUGGAGGGAACUCUGACGCAGCGACGCCGCGUGAACGAUGAAGGCCUUCGGGUCGUAAAGUUCUGUCCUCAGGGAAGAAUAAAUGACGGUACCUGAGGAGGAAGCCCCGGCUAACUACGUGCCAGCAGCCGCGGUAAUACGUAGGGGGCGAGCGUUGUCCGGAAUUACUGGGCGUAAAGGGUACGUAGGCGGCUAUAUAAGUCAGGUGUGAAAUACCAGUGCUUAACACUGGAAUUGCAUUUGAAACUGUUGGGCUUGAGUGCAGGAGAGGAAAGUGGAAUUCCUAGUGUAGCGGUGAAAUGCGUAGAGAUUAGGAGGAACACCAGUGGCGAAGGCGACUUUCUGGUCUGUAACUGACGCUGAGGCGCGAAAGCGUGGGGAGCAAACA